CCAAUCAAACCGGGAAAUAGCUCGUACUCCCCGAAAUGCUUUUAGGAGCAGCGUAUAGUUAAGUGUAUAAGAGGUAGAGCUACUGGUUGGGCUAGGGGGAGUCACAUCCUACCAAACCCUAUCAAACUCCGAAUGCUUAUACAUGUUUCUAUGCAGUGAGGGUAUGGGUGCUAAGGUCCAUAUCCAAAAGGGAAAGAACCCAGAGCAUCAGCUAAGGUCCCCAAGUGUAUACUAAGUUGAGAAAAUGUGGUGUGAUUGCUUAGACAGCCAGGAUGUUGGCUUGGAAGCAGCCAUUCAUUUAAAGAGUGCGUAACAGCUCACUAGUCGAGCGGUUCGGCAUGGAUAAUAAUCGGGCAUAAACAUACUACCGAAGCUAUGGCAUCUUUAAGAUGGGUAGGGGAGCAUUCUAUAUGUAUUGAAGUUGAGCUGUGAGGCUUGGUGGAACGUAUAGAAAAGAAAAUGUAGGCAUAAGUACCGAUAAUGAAGAUGAGAAAU
rnacentral:rRNA from 1 species